rnacentral:lncRNA from 1 species
AUUCAUCGUAGUUCACAGCCGAAAUAGUGUUCAAAAUAAUAUACUCAAAUUUUGUUCAAUUUUCUCCACUUGAAGGUCAGAUAAUGUUGAACUAAUAGUCAACUGACGGCGGUGGUUAAUUUAAACACAGUGCUAAAUUUGAACAAUAGAUUUGAAAAGCGAAAAUUUUUAGUGGCAUUUGAACAUUUGGACAAAUUUUAGAUGGUAUAUAUGGAAUUCCCUCCAGAACUUAACAGAACUUGUGCUACUCUAUAAAUACGGCUCAGCUGAAUUCAUUUUAGGAAAAGUGAAAUGAUAAAGAGAAGAUGUUAUGCCCCUACACCAUAUGCCUAAUUUAUUUUACAUGUGCCAAUGAGAUGAGGCAAAGCUUCUGUGCCAAAGCUCUUCUUCUAGCCUUUUUUUUCUUUUCUUUUUCCUUUCAACCUUGUUCGAACUCCUUCUUAUUUAAUGAGAUGAGGCAAAGCUUUUGCCUCCGUUUAAAAAAAAAUUACAUGUGCCAAUUAGUAUUGUGUUCUUUCUCUCCAUCCGCCAUUAGUGGUGGUUUAUGCUCAACUUAUCAACACAAGAGUCUUAAUGAGAUGAGACAAAGCUUCUGUGCCAAAGCUCUUCUUCUAGCCUUUUUUUUCUUUUCUUUUUCCUUUCAACCUUGUUCGAACUCCUUCUUAUUUAAUGAGAUGAGGCAAAGCUUUUGCCUCCGUUUAAAAAAAAAUUACAUGUGCCAAUUAGUAUUGUGUUCUUUCUCUCCAUCCGCCAUUAGUGGUGGUUUAUGCUCAACUUAUCAACACAAGAGUCUCUCCAGCAUAGCGAGCUUCUGUGCCAAAGAUCUUCUUCUAGCCUUUUUUUUGGCGAAGUACCCCACUUUAUUAACUCAGAAUAUUAGUUGGGAUACAAGAAAUGUCAGGGGUGCUGAGAAGCCACAAAGGACGCCCCAUAGUGAGAGUAGACGCAUCCUUGGAUAGGUUAUGAGAGCUAGGAUGACUCCAUGGAACAGAUUCCGCCUUGCCUGGAACUCUCUAGCAAUGGCGCUAUAGGAACACAACGUACACUCCUGAAAAUUAUUCACAACUCCAAGGCAGUCAGACGCAACCUGAACAUGGGAAAUAUUCAGGUUGGCAGCCAGUGCCAGAGCCUCACAACAGGCAAUAGCUUCGAGAACUUAUGGAGAAUUGAGUCCCUUCUAGCCAUGAUGCUGCGGUCGGUCGCCCGCUCGCUGUCAUCUCCGCCCCAUCUCUGUCUGGCCUGGCGUAGUCAACAUGGGCCAAGACAAAUGGGUUAUCCUCCCACCAGCGAAGCCCAGACACCACUGGACAGACCAAACGAGAACGGGCCUUUUCUGUCACCGCGCUCG